rnacentral:rRNA from 1 species
UACGGAGGGUGCGAGCGUUUGUCCGGAAUCACUGGGCGUAAAGGGCGCGUAGGCGGCUUGGGAAGUCCGUGGUGAAAGCCCGAGGCUCAACUUCGGGUCGGCCAUGGAUACUCCUAAGCUCGAGUCGACUAGAAGGCUAAUGGAAUUCCGGGUGUAGCGGUGGAAUGCGUAGAGAUCCGGAAGAACACGGUGGCGAAGGCGGUUAGCUGGGGUCGGACUGACGCUGGAGGCGCGGACAGCGUGGGGAGCAAACAGG